UUAAAACACGUUUGUAACAUUUGGUCCGAUCUUUUCUCUCUCCUCUGAAACCCUAGAGAAGGCGAUUUGGGAGGCGACGAAAAGGAAUCGGGGAUAAUUGACUCUGCAUUGAAUCCAGUAACAUACAAGAUUGUGAAAUUAUGUUUCCAGACAUAAUAUCUUUUGAUUUAGGUAAUCUUUGUCAUCCUUGUAUAUCUGAUAUUGUUUCAGCUAAUUGAUUAAUUGAUGAGCUUCUGAUUGUAUGUUUAUCUUGUUUGGAACCAUUAUUGAGUUUGACCUACUCUUCUAUAUCUUUUGUGUGUGUCCAUGAUAGUUUGCCACUAUUGUUUCUGUUGUACUCGUGUGGAAAUCAAACAACCUCUUAAGUUUCUUUUGGAUUUCUUGUCUGGUUGCUGAGAAUUUCACAUCUCCUUGGUAUUCCUCUUUUGUGGUGUCCUGGAUCUGCACUUCUGUACACAAAAUAUAUGUUUCCAUUUUGACUUGCCUAUCAAUUGAUCGAUCGAUCGUUCCAUCUGAUAUUAUCAGAGAAGAGCAAGCAACGUGUUUUGUGAGCAAUGGCGUCCUCUUCUCUCCUCAGAUCUACAACCCCUGUUCUCCGAGCCUCAGGAAUCUCUUCACUUCCGCCGUCUGACGGAACAAGUAAACGUUGUUUUCCCUAUGAGUGUUUGAUAACAAAAAAAUUCAAUCCUACUUCUAUUUUUUGUUUAUUUUUAUAUAAUUUGUGUUUUCUGAUCAUGUCAAGCUGUAUAUAUAUAUAUUGUUGAUUUUGGUUUUUGAUUAUUUGUUGUUGUAAGCGAUGGAUCUUUGACUUUCUAAGUACCUUUAUGAUUUUUUUUUGGAAUUAAUUUGAUUGUUGAUAUAUAGUAGCUUUCUUUGGUUUCAUUUGAUUUCGGAUAAAAUUAUAGUUGUAAUGAAUUUGAUCCCCAUUUUUUAAUUUGAUUGGCGAUGUGUAGUUGCUUUA